CAGUGUUUCAGUGAGCCUAUUCACUAAACUCGGAAGAAGCCCAUUCCUCGUGUUUCGUUUAUAAAGCCCAAUUAAAAGCCGAUCUUGUAAUUCAUAAGUGCACAAGGAUUUCCGUUGGCGCCAAUUUAUCUCGUGUUGCUGUGAUUUUUACUAGGAUUCUUCAUCACCAAACUCGGAAGUUGAGACUGAGCAAGACAUCAUAUCUCAUACAAUGUUACAAUGGAUGGGUGGAUCAAGGCGGAAAGUGAUAGCUUCAAGAAGGUCUACUCAGAAAAGGCAAAAGCAAUAUUUUGAGCAAAGAAAACGACAACAGCAGCAGUUAUCAGCUGGAUUAGAGAACGAUGCUAAUGGAAGGCAUUCAUGUAGUCAGCACCAUGGAAAUGAAAGAUCACUCGAUAUUCUUAGUUUUUUGAAUUUAUCAACUCUUACACAGGACCAGAAGUCCACCACUUGCCUCAUUGGAAAGGAUAGUCCAGAGAACGAUACUUUCAAUUUGAAUUAUCAGAAUGCACAUUACUCCCCAGCAAUUCACACCAAGAAAGCCAUUGCUGGAGAUCAUUUUGAAACUAAUGAAGCAAGACCAUCAUUAUGCGGCCAUGUGGAGACUAGCCCAAAGAAGCUCCCAGUCAGCCCACUUGAUUACAAAGAAGGUUUAACUGGAAAUGGUGACAAGUUGAAGUUGACAACUCAAUGUCAUGGGAUAUCUGUUAUUGAUUUGCUUGGUGAUGAUGGAGCACAUGGCACUGUGAAAGAAAUUUCAGUACAUGCACCGGAAUCUCAUGUUGCAUUUUCAGUUGAAGGGUUGGGAAAAGUGGAAACGGAAACUCCAAUUAACUCUCCUUGCAGAUCUGUCUUAAAUAGUUUCUCUUCACUUGAAGAAGCUAGGAGACAAGCUAGGACAUCCAAAACCUUCAAGUAUGGUCUGGAUGAUUUUGAGUCUCGAAUGGAUGACAUGGUGGAGGAUAUUGAUUUUUCGUCACUGUACAAUGAUUCCAUAGACCAGCCAUUCUCCUGCUCGGGCGACUAUACAUUUGGCAAUUCAAAGCCGAGGCUCUCAAAGUUCAGGAAGUCCUUGCCAUUUGACAGAUAUGAUAAUAGCUUGAACGAUGUAUUGGGGGAUGAUGUAAUCAUGUACGACACCAAAGACAGUGAUGAAAACAUUUGGAAUGCAGGUUCUAUCUUCCUAGAUAACCAUAUUGACAAAGUGGAAGAAUAUAGAUUAUUCUGCAAGAAUCAGGUAGAUCUAAGAGAUGAUGAUUAUGCUGAUUAUUCGAAUAAUAACGACCAUUGGGGGCGAGACUUCAACUUUGAAGGCUCUUCUUUACAAGAGCGAAGGGCCAGCAAGCACAGAACAGAAAACAUUGAUAUCAGAGAUCCACAUUCCCCUUCUACCAAGCAUCAGAUGUCAGAGUAUCUACGUGAUUUUGAAAUUUCAGAUGCAAGAUGGUUUACCAUAGGGAUAGAUCAUAAUGUUAAAGAUGCUAGCAACCAACCAUCAUGGUCGUGCUUUAUAAGGGAACACGAAAGAGAGAAUUUGAGUUUGAGUGAAGAAUCAUGCUCCUCCAGUGCAGUGAGGGGUAAUGAAAGCAAUAGACCACCAACGAGAAAAGAGGGAACACAGGUCCAUGGCAUACAUGGUUGGUUCCAGGAGAACAAAUGUUAUGAGAAGAAUAUAGAUGGCAAGAAAAUAAAUCGUGGUAAUAGAAGCCAUCUCCAGCAAAGAGAGAGUGUAAACCGACUAGGAAAGCUUACAAGGAUGCCAGAAGCAAGUCUAACACCAGCUUGCUUCCAAACUGCCACUUUUGAGAGCAAUUCCUUCUGUCAAACUUCUGGGAUGAGAAAACUUUCAGCCUCAGGUCCCAGUGCUUGGAGCAAAGAUGUCUUUGACGUAACAGAUUCCCAAUUAAUUAUCGACUGUAAUACACCAUUUAAGAGAUCUCCUGACUUGCCUGGUGAACAUUCACCCAUAUCAGAAGAAAUGUACUUCCGUCAUCCUUGUAGUCAUGUAUACUCACAUGAGACCCCGUCCCCAAUUUCCCAAAACAUUGAGUUUGUAUCAACUGUACCAAAUUUAUCUAAAGACUCCAAAGGAAAUACAGUUCUGGAUUCAUUGUGUUCACAGAGCUAUCUAGGAUUAGAGAAGGAGAGCUUGAGCAGAGAUGGAGAAAAGAGCGUUGAUAACCCAUCUAUUGUCGAGGACAACAUUGAGCUACAGAUGGAUGUUUCUGAUGGCAGUAAGGGCUUGUCCUCGAAAAUGGGAAGUCCAUCAAUAUCUCCAAAUAGAACCCCUGAAAUGAAAGAGAGUAUGAAGGAAACAGACUCUACCGAUCUUGCAAAAGACACAUCAUCAUUUGUAGAGAUACCGUGUACUUCUGGAGGCAUUCAGCUGUGUCAGGGUGAUACUCGCAUUUUACUUCCAUGGAAAACUGAAUCUCGAGAAGAAGAUUGUGGGCAUAAAGAAACAAGGAUAGAAAUCACUGGGAAAAGUAACAGCGGUGGCUCAUCUUGCUGUGAUGUUGCUCGUUAGCCGUGUGCUUCAACUUCCAUCCUUGCACCGAAGCAUCUGCACAAAAUGCUCAGAAGAAGGUAUAAAACUUCCUGAUAUACAGAUGGAUGGGAUUUUUUUCCCCUUCAAAUUUUUUGGAUGGUUAAAUGCUUAUGUGCUUACUGAGUUUUUUUAGAAGUUCUGGUCUUGUAGACCGUCUAGCAAGCAUAAAUGCUUAUUAGCGUAAUGAUACACGAGAACAAAAAGAAGGAUGAACAUGUUUAAAUAUGAACUCUUGAGCUCCUCCUUCCAAUCACCUAUUUGAGAGAUAUGAGACAAUCCAUGAAUUAUAUACCACACAAUUCAGUAAAAAAACAGUAAGAAAUUCAUUUUCUGACUGGAUAGAGAGUCCUCUAAUUCAGUGAAGCAUGUAAGAUAUUUUUUAUAGCAAUCAUGCUACUUGUACAAUGAAUUUAACAACAAAUUUGACAAUGUGUGAGUUGAUGGGCAUCAUAUCCAUUGAUUUGAAAAAUUAUUUUUGAAUUCAAUGGUUAAGAUUUUUA